rnacentral:lncRNA from 9 species
AUAAAUUUAUAGUUUAUAUUAUACUUAACAUAUAACUAUAUCUAUAAUUUUUUCCUGGGUCACAAGGGUAACCAAUCACUGACACUGCUUCAGUUUCAGUUGUCAGGCUGGCUUGGUGUUCGCCUACAGAGGUACCAAACAGUACGACUUUCAUCGUUAGAAGAAAAAGAAACUUGGGGGCGAGCAGCCGCCGCUGUACCCACAAUUCCUGCACCAAGACCACGUCCUGUGAGAAGCAGCUCAGACCCUGUGCAUUCGCAUUACAGAGUUCUUUCUGAUUCUCCGAUUUGUCAUCGGAUCUUAUUAAAACACAGAAGGAAGAAAUUGACUGCAGCAACUGGGGUUCUAUAGGCGUCUCAACAGCAUCAAACCAAACUCAUAAUUAUUGGAACCAUUGUAUCAAACGCCUGGGGGCGGGCAGCUGGCUUUGUUCUCACAGUGGCACACACCUCCAGAAAAGACAGCUCGCCAUCCCAGCGGGGGGCGGGGUGGCCCCUCUGGCCUUUUGACCCAGAAGUGCCUCUUAGAGAGGUGCCGUGUGGAUGUGGGGUCGGGGGGUGGGGUGGGGGUGGGCACACACACCAGAGACAAUAUAGAGAAGCCGGCGUGAGCUCCAGCUCUGCAAAGAAUUGUGAAGCUGCAUCCUGUCAGGUUUCCUCUCAUUCCUGUAUUUCUUUUUCCCUGGAGCUCCUUAUUGGCAGCAAAUUGGCUAUUCUCUUGCCCUUGUUUCUGUCCACUCUUUCCCACAAUCCUUUCUCUUUUUGUUUUUCUACCCCUUGUCCCCUUCAGGACCUCCCUCCAGGUAACAUGCCUGGCUUUCCUUUGCUUGGCCCAUCACUUCUUUCACCUCAGCAUCCCCUUCUCUCUCCGCAUCCUUCUCCGUCUCUCUGACCUUGGAGAAGAUGCAGACAAACCACAAGGAACGUUCCUUGAUCCCUCAGAGGGAGGUUGAUGUCGUGUCAUCUCUCUGGCUAGAAUUGUUUAUUUUGUGCCUAUUUCCUCGAGGAUGAUGCAGUUCAAUAUUCACACCUUGACUGAACUGUGAAGAGAGAUGAGGUCCUCUGCUGUGGGUCCAUUCUGAUGCCACCACCCACCCCCAGCCCAAAUAAUCCACAGCCACUAUGAGCUUGACGCGCUGGGGGCAGAGGAGAGACAGCCCACGCUCACUGUCUGCUGGCGAAAGAGAGACCAGACUGUUACCUGCAGUGUGGUCAGGUGUGCAAAGGGUAAUUCAAAUGCAUCUCUGAGUUUGCAGGAUAAAUAGGCAAGAGGUGCCUUGGGCUGAGAGGCCAGGAAGGUCUCAGAGAGGAUGUGACCCUUAGGAAGAGACCUGGGAGGGAGUUCCCACUGUAGUGCAGUGGGUUAAGGACCUGGCCUUCUCUCUGCAGUGCAGGUUUGAUCCCAGGCCCCGGUGUAGUGGGUUGAGGAUCCUGCGUUGUUGCAGCUGUGGCUCAGAUUCGAUCUUCGAUCCCUGGCCUGAGAACUUCCAUGUGCUGAG